rnacentral:rRNA from 1 species
UAGAUGCGAGAGUAGAGCAUAUCAAUAAGCGGAGGAAAAGAAACUAACAAGGAUUCCCUUAGUAACGGCGAGUGUAGCGGGAAGAGCUCAAAUUUGAAUCUUCAAGGUUUUCCCUUGACGAAUUGUAGUUUAAAGAAGUGUUUUCUGUUAGUGAGAGUGGUAAAAGUUCUUUGGAAUAGGACAUCAUAGAGGGUGAGAAUCCCGUAUUUGACUAUUCCUUCUAGCUUUGUGAUACACUUUCAAAGAGUCGGAUUGUUUGGGAAUGCAGUCCAAAAUGGGUGGUAAAUUUCAUCUAAAGCUAAAUACUGGCGAGAGACCGAUAGCGAACAAGUACCGUGAGGGAAAGAUGAAAAGAACUUUGAAAAGAGAGUUAAACAGUACGUGAAAUUGUCAAAAGGGAAGCGUUUGACACCAGUGUUGUUUUUCCGAAAAUCAAUUACUAAUGUUUUGUUUUGAGAGUUGAUGACUUCAUCGGCUUGCUUCUUCUUUCACGAAACUUUCUGUAAUGCACUUUUCGGUUAACAAGUCAACAUCAAUUUCUUUUGUUGUAAAAGAGUAUUAGGAAGGUGGCUUUCUUUUCGGAGAAAGUGUUUAUAGCCCUUAUACCUCUACAAUCGGAGAGAUUGAGGUCUGCAGGCGUAGAUCCUUCGGGGUUAGAUACAUUUGUGCUAAGUUAUAGCUUUUCAUAGACAACUUGUUGACUAUGUUUAGUCUUGUAGCUUACUCGCUUAUGCUAUUUUACCUACGCUUAGGAUGUUGACACACGCGCGUGCUCG